GGGCACAGUAACUUUUGGUGACCAUGCUUUCUGUUUCUUCCGUGUCACUCUGAAGACUGGUGAGCUUGGGAACAAGAAAAGUAACACUUUGCAGCCCCAGAAAAAACCUGCUGUUUAAGAGAAGUCUGCAAAACAUUUGAGGAUUUUCAGUGCCCUGAUGCAACAUGAAUUACAUGAUCAAAGAAGAAAAUUUUAAAAGCUGUUACAGAAAGCCCAGAGAAAGGCACCAUCCACCUCUUUCUGUAUCUGCUGCUUCUGCCAUGGUCUAUAAACCGCCCGUUUCAGCUCUCGCCUGUAGAAACCUAUCCAAGCCUCUUCCUUGGCCUUGGGCAUCGCCGAUGCUUCAAUCUGCUCAUCGAACAAGCUCAUUAAGAGAUCGCUGAUGCGGGACCAUCUGUCGGGUUUCAUCUACCGGUGCCGGAGGAGCGCGGCGGCCUCGGGGCCGGUUUGCGGUCAGGCUGAGGCUGGUUCGGUUCAGCUGAGCCCGUCACCUCAGGCCUCCCGCCUCACCCCGCUGCCCAACAACCCCUAACGGCGCUUCCCGCCUCCCUCCCACCAGCCGUGCGCGGGGCCCCUGGAGCCACAGACACCCCGCACGCACCCCCGCUUCCCGCCCCUGGGCGGGGGUACCUGGGGCGCGGCGGGCGGCGGCCCCCGCUCGUACAGCGCGGCGGGCGCACGGGUGCGCG